AUGCUCACAUUGACAGCACAUGUACUAAAAUUGAAAUGAUACAGAGAAGAUUAGCAUGGCCCAGCACAAGGGUGACGUGCAAAUUCAGGAAGUAUUUCAUAUUUGG
ensembl:snRNA U6 U6 spliceosomal RNA